UGACGUCAGCGCGCAGCGCGUACCCUCCCGCGCUGGAGCCCUGGGCUAGGGGGUGACUGGCAGGUCCCCCGUCCGCGAGGUUUCUGUGAGAUUUUGUGUAUCCAUUUGUCACUGAGAGAGAGAGAGAGAGAGCACAAGCCGGGAGAGAAGCAGACAGAGGGAGAAGCAGGCUCUCCACUGAGCAUGGAGCCUGAUGAGGGACUCAUCCCAGGACCCCGAGAUCAUGAUCUGCGCUGAAGGCAGCUGCUUAACCAACUGAGCCGCUCACUUCUGCAAAGUCCCUUUGGCCAUGUAAGAAAACGGAGCCUCAGAGAGGGGAGGUGACAUGCUCAAAGUCAUUGGAGCUACGGUGAGAGCUGGGAUUCCGCCCCUGAUGGUCUCAUGGGGUCAUGCGGACGAAGGGGAGUGUCCUGAAGCCCAGAGAGGAAGACGGAUUCACGCAAGGCCACCCAGCAAGUCUGGUUACUUCAUCCCAAGCAGAACAUCUCCCCUCUUAGCCAUGAUCAGAAAGAGACUUGGCAUCAGCAUGGACCCUUCCAUAAAGAUUCUGGCUCUUUCUGCUGCUGAAAUCGGAAAGAUGAAUGAGUGGUACCAUGGAGCCAGAAAAAUAUGAGAUAAAGUGAUGGCACCAUCCUCUCAUUUUCUCUUUCUACUAGAAGAAGACCUCAUUCUAGGAGUGCGUGGGUGGCUUAGUCAGUUAAGUGUCUGCCUUUGGCUCAGGUCAUGAUCCCAGGGUCCUGGGAUCAAGCCCAGUGUUGGGCUCCCUACUCUGUGGGGAGUCUGCUCUCCCUCUCUGUCUGCCCCUCCCCCAGCUCCUGCUCGCUCGCUCUCAAAUAAAAUCUUAAAAAAUUAAAAAUAGCAUUCUCAAGUAAGACACAGGUGCAUUAAUGGAAAAAAUUAACAGAUUUUACUAUACAAUUUUUUAAAAAACUUGAAGCCUUCUAUAUGGUGAAACACAGAGUCCAAUUUAAAACAAAGAAUAGGAGGGAAUACUUGUAGCAUAUUCA